GCGGAUGUGGCGGAAUUGGCAGACGCACUGGAUUUAGGUUCCAGCGGGGUAACCCGUGGGGGUUCAAGUCCCUCCAUCCGCACCA
rnacentral:tRNA from 1 species